rnacentral:tRNA from 1 species
GUAAACGUAGUUUAAACACAAAACACCAGCCUGUGAAGCUGAAAACAGAAAAAAUUCUCAUUUACC